rnacentral:tRNA from 2 species
GCGGGGGUAACUCAGCGGUAGAGUCUCGGCCUUCCAAGCCGAUGGUCGCGGGUUCGAAUCCCGUCCCCCGCUCCA